rnacentral:rRNA from 1 species
UAGGGAAUCUUCCACAAUGGACGCAAGUCUGAUGGAGCAACGCCGCGUGAGUGAAGAAGGUUUUCGGACCGUAAAGCUCUGUUGUUGGUGAAGAAGGAUAGAGGUAGUAACUGGCCCUUUAUUUGACGGUAAUCAACCAGAAAGUCACGGCUAACUACGUGCCAGCAGCCGCGGUAAUCGUAGGUGGCAAGCGUUGUCCGGAUUUAUUGGGCGUAAAGCGAGCGCAGGCGGAAGAAUAAGUCUGAUGUGAAAGCCCUCGGCUUAACCGAGGAAUUGCAUCGGAAACUGUUUUUCUUGAGUGCAGAAGAGGAGAGUAGAA